GAACCCGUGGCGCAGUGGUAGCGCGUAUGAUUCCAGCUAUAUGCGAGAAUCCAUAAGGUCAUCCGUUCAAUCCGGGUCGGGUUCA
rnacentral:tRNA from 1 species